AGUGAACGCUGGCGGUAGGCCUAACACAUGCAAGUCGAACGGCAGCACAGUAAGAGCUUGCUCUUACGGGUGGCGAGUGGCGGACGGGUGAGGAAUACAUCGGAAUCUACUUUUUCGUGGGGGAUAACGUAGGGAGACUUACGCUAAUACCGCAUACGACCUACGGGUGAAGGCAGGGGAUCUUCGGACCUUGCGCGAUUGAAUGAGCCGAUGUCGGAUUAGCUAGUUGGCGGGGUAAAGGCCCACCAAGGCGACGAUCCGUAGCUGGUCUGAGAGGAUGAUCAGCCACACUGGAACUGAGACACGGUCCAGACUCCUACGGGAGGCAACAGUGGGGAAUAUUGGACAAUGGGCGCAAGCCUGAUCCAGCCAUACCGCGUGGGUGAAGAAGGCCUUCGGGUUGUAAAGCCCUUUUGUUGGGAAAGAAAAGCAGCAGGUUAAUACCCCGCUGUUCUGACGGUACCCAAAGAAUAAGCACCGGCUAACUUCGUG
rnacentral:rRNA from 1 species